rnacentral:rRNA from 1 species
UACCAGCACCCCGAGUGGUCGGGACGUUUAUUGGGCCUAAAGCAUCCGUAGCCGGUUCUACAAGUCUUCCGUUAAAUCCACCUGCUUAACAGAUGGGCUGCGGAAGAUACUAUGGAGCUAGGAGGCGGGAGAGGCAAGCGGUACUCGAUGGGUAGGGGUAAAAUCCGUUGAUCCAUUGAAGACCACCAGUGGCGAAGGCGGCUUGCCAGAACGCGCCUCGACGGUGAGGGAUGAAAGCUGGGGG